CACCAUUGUUCCUGUUCCCACGAAAGCUAAGGUAACUAAGCUAAACGACUAUCGCCCCGAAGCACUCACUUCCGUCAUCAUGAAGUGCUUUGAGAUACUAGUCAAGGAUCAUAUCACCUCCACCCUACCUGACACCCUAGACCCACUCCAAUUUGCCUACCACCACAAUAGGUCCACAGACAACGCAAUCACACUGCCCUAACCCAUCUGGACAAGAGGAAUACCUAUGUACGAAUGCUGUUCAUCGACUACAGCUCAGCAUUUAACACCAUAGUGCCCUCCAAACUCGUCAUUAAAUUUGAGACCCUGGGUCUCGACCCCGCCCUGUGCAACUGGGUCCUGGACUUUCUGUCGGGCCACCCCCAGGUGGUGAGGGUAGGAAACAACAUCUCCACCCCGCUGAUCCUUAACACUGGGGCCUCACAAGGGUGCGUUCUCAGCCCUCUCCUGUACUCCCUGUUCACCCAUGACUGUGUUGCCAUGCACGCCUCCAACUCAAUCAUCAAGCUUGCAGACGACACUACAGUGGUAGGCUUGAUUACCAACAACGACGAGACGGCCUACAGGGAGGAGGUGAGGGCCCUCGGAGUGUGGUGUCAGGAAAACAACCUCACACUCAAUGUCAACAAAACAAAGGAGAUGAUCGUGAACUUCAGGAAACAGCAGAGGGAGCACCCCCCUAUCCACAUCGACGGGACAGUAGUGGAGAAGGUGGAAAGUUUUAAGUUCCUCGGCAUACACAUCACGGACAAACUGAAAUGGUCCACCCACACAGACAGCAUGGUGAAGAAGGUGCAACAGCGCCUCUUCAACCUUAGGAGGCUGAAGAAAUGUGGCUUGUCACCAAAAACACUCAAACUUUUACAGAUGCACAAUCAAGAGCAUCCUGUCGGGCUGUAUCACCGCCUGGUACGGCAACUGCUCCGCCCACAACCGCAAGGCUCUCCAGGGGGUAGUGAGGUCUGCACAAUGCAUUACUGGGGGCAAACUACCUGCCCUCCAAGACACCUUCACCACCCAAUGUCACAGGAAGGCCAAAAAGGUCAGUACAGGUGCCUCAAAGCUGGGACCGUGAGACUGAAAAACAGCUUCUAUCUCAAGGCCAUCAGACUGUUAAACAGCCAUCACUAACAUUGAGUGGCUG
rnacentral:lncRNA from 8 species